GCAAUAAAUCUUACUGUUUUAGGCCACAGAGUUUGGGGUAGCUUGUUAUGUAACAGUGCUAACCGACACAUAAGGCAGAGUACCUACCAUCUGUCCUCUCUUCAGGCAAGUUUGAAUCUGUCUCUACAAAAAACACAAAAAAGUUAGCUGGGCAUGGUGGCAUGCACCUAUAGUCCCAGCUGCCCGGAAGGCUGAGGUGGGAGGAUCACUUGAGCCUGGGAAGUCGAGGCUGCAGUGUACCAUGAUCAUGCCACUGCACUCCAGUCUGGGUCACGGAACAAGACCUUAUCUCAAAAAAUAUAUAAAUAAAAAUAAAAUGAAAUAAACCCUCUUUGCAUCUGACAGAGAUGAAAUUUAUAUCUGUUACAUGAGGCCACAAGGUAGUAAUUAUUACCUCCAUUUAAAAUAUAUAUAUAAGUAGAGAGUUUAUUUGGGCCAACCUUGAAGAUUGCAACCCAGGUACAUACAUUCAAAUUGCCCUGAAUAUAUACUCUGAUUAGCAGCAAUUAAAAAUGGAAUUUUAAAGGCAAAAAAAAAAGGGUCACAGGGCAUGGGCUGAUACAAAGUUUUCUGUCAAGAAUUCUCUUUGGUUUACAGCAAUAAUAUUGAUUAGUGAUUGGCUCUACAUUGUUAAGCUGUAAGGUAUGGGUUACAGUGUCUGGUGCAGCACUAUUAGGUUAAUUUAUAGCUACUUAUAGCACUAGCAAGCAGUUUCAAGAGAUGAACACA
rnacentral:lncRNA from 1 species